GAUGAACGCUGACAGCAUGCUUAACACAUGCAAGUCUUUGGUGAAGCUGUGCUUGCACAGCCUAGCCAAGGCGGACGGGUGAGUAACGCGUAAGGAACUUGCCCUGCAGUCAGGGAUAACAGACGGAAACGACUGAUAAGACCUGGUAAAGUCAGGCGGACUCAUGUCCAGCCUGAUGAAAAGAGAUGCUGCAGGAGAGCCUUGCGUCCUAUUAGCUUGUUGGUGGGGUAACGGCCCACCAAGGCAAUGAUAGGUAGCCGGCCUGAGAGGGUGGACGGCCACAAGGGGACUGAGAUACGGCCCUUACUCCUACGGGAGGCAGCAGUGGGGAAUAUUGGACAAUGGGGGCAACCCUGAUCCAGCAAUUCUGUGUGCACGAUGAAGGUUUUCGGAUUGUAAAGUGCUUGCAGCAGGGAAGAAAAAAAUGACGGUACCUGCAGAAGAAGCGACGGCUAAAUACGUG
rnacentral:rRNA from 1 species